AGAAUCAACGCUGGCGGCGUGCCUAACACAUGCAAGUCGAACGAGAAAGUGGAGCAAUCCAUGAGUAAAGUGGCGACCGGGUGAGUAACACGUGACUAACCUACCUUCGAGUGGGGGAUAACCUCGGGAAACCGAGGCUAAUACCGCAUAACAUCGUGAGAUCAAAGCAGUAAUGCGCUGGAAGAGGGGGUCGCGGCUGAUUAGCUAGUUGGCGGGGUAAUGGCCCACCAAGGCGAAGAUCGGUAGCCGGCCUGAGAGGGGCGCGACGGACCGACGACCUGGAACUGAAACACGGUCCAGACUCCUACGGGAGGCAGCAGUGGGGAAUUUUGCGCAAUGGGGGAAACCCUGACGCAGCAACGCCGCGUGGAGGAUGAAGUCCCUUGGGACGUAAACUCCUUUCGACCAAGACGAUAAUGACGGUACUGGUGGAAGAAGCACCGGCUAACUCUGUGCCAGCAGCCGC
rnacentral:rRNA from 1 species